CCGUGCAUGGCACAGAGCCGGGUGCCCGGGCUGCAGGAGGAAAGACGGCAGGGCUCCUGGGUAGAAUUGCACUUUAGCAAUAAUGGGAACGGGAGCAGUGUCCCAGCCUCGGUUUCUAUUUAUCAUGGUGACAUGGACAAAACACUGCUGGAUGCCCAGCAUGAGUCUGGAUGGAGUAGCUCCAAGAGUUCUCACUGUGACAGACCACCUCGCUCACAGACACCCCAGGAUACUAACAGAGCUUCUGAAACAGACACCCAUAGCAUUGGAGAGGAAAACAGUUCCCAGUCCGAAGAAGAUUACGUUGAGAGAAGGAAAGAAGUUGAAAGCAUCUUGAAGAAAAACUUAGAUUGGGUCUGGGAUUGGUCAAGUGGGCCAGAAAACAUUCCUCCCCAAAGAGUUCCUCUUCCAACACCCCAAGCGCACGGUUGCUCUCAGCAUGAGAAACACAAGUGUUAUGAAGGAAGGGGGCAUAUUCUCAGCAGAAUUUCUAAAAGUGUUUCUUCCAUCUCUGCUGCUGUCUCAUCUGCUGGCCAUUGGACUGGGGAUCUACAAUGGAAGGUGCCUGACAACCUCCACCAGCACCUUUUGA